GCUGGGUGUGGUGGUGCACACCUGUAGUCCCAGCUACUUGGGAGACUGAGGCAGGAGGAUAGCUUGAGCUCAGGAGUUUGAGGUUACAGUGAGUUAUGAUUGUACUACUGCACUCCAGCCUGGGCAACAGAGUGAGACUCUGUCUCUU
ensembl:misc_RNA Metazoa_SRP Metazoan signal recognition particle RNA